rnacentral:rRNA from 1 species
GACGAACGCUGGCGGCGUGCUUAACACAUGCAAGUCGAACGAUGAACUUGGAGCUUGCUCUGGGGGAUUAGUGGCGAACGGGUGAGUAACACGUGAGUAACCUGCCCUGGACUCUGGGAUAACUUCGAGAAAUCGGAGCUAAUACCGGAUAGGACCUUGCACCGCAUGGUGUGGGGUGGAAAGUUUUUCGGUUUGGGAUGGACUCGCGGCCUAUCAGCUUGUUGGUGAGGUAAUGGCUCACCAAGGCGUCGACGGGUAGCCGGCCUGAGAGGGUGACCGGCCACACGGGGACUGAGACACGGUCCAGACUCCUACGGGAGGCAGCAGUGGGGAAUAUUGCACAAUGGGCGCAAGCCUGAUGCAGCAACGCCGCGUGCGGGAUGACGGCCUUCGGGUUGUAAACCGCUUUUAGUAGGGAAGAAGCCUUCGGGUGACGGUACCUGCAGAAAAAGGACCGGCUAACUACGUGCCAGCAGCCGCCGUAAUAC